GAUGAACGCUGGCGGCGUGCCUAAUACAUGCAAGUCGAGCGAACAGACGUGGAUCUUGCUCCUCUGACGUUAUCGUCGGACGGGUGAGUAACACGUAGAUAACCUACCUAUAAGACUGGGCUAACUUCUGGACACCGGAGCUAAUACCGGAUAAUAUAUUGAACCGCAUGGUUCAAUAGUGAAAGACGGAUUUGCUGUCACUUAUAGAUGGAGCCGCGCCGCCUUAUCUAGUUGGUAAGGUAACGGCUUACCAAGGCAACGAUGCGUAGCCGACCUCAGAGGGUGAUCGGCCACAGUGGAACUGAGACACGGUCCAGACUCCUACGGGAGGCAGCAGUAGGGAAUCGUCCGCAAUGGGCGAAAGCCUGAGGGAGCAACGCCGCGUGAGUGAUGAAGGUCUUCGGAUCGUAAAACUCUGUUAUUAGGGAAGAACAAAUGUGUAAGUAACUAGGCACGUCUUGACGGUACCUAAACAGAAAGCCACGGCUAACUACGUG
rnacentral:rRNA from 1 species